AUUGAACGCUGGCGGCAUGCCUUACACAUGCAAGUCGAACGGCAGCACGGGAGCAAUCCUGGUGGCGAGUGGCGAACGGGUGAGUAAUAUAUCGGAACGUGCCCAGUCGUGGGGGAUAACGCAGCGAAAGCUGUGCUAAUACCGCAUACGAUCUACGGAUGAAAGCGGGGGAUCGCAAGACCUCGCGCGAUUGGAGCGGCCGAUAUCAGAUUAGCUAGUUGGUGAGGUAAAGGCUCACCAAGGCGACGAUCUGUAGCUGGUCUGAGAGGACGACCAGCGACACUGGAACGGGGACACGGUCCAGACUCCUACGGGAGGCAGCAGUGGGGAAUUUUGGACAAUGGGCGCAAGCCUGAUCCAGCAAUGCCGCGUGCAGGAUGAAGGCCUUCGGGUUGUAAACUGCUUUUGUACGGAGCGAAACGGUCUUUCCUAAUACGAGAGGCUAAUGACGGUACCGUAAGAAUGAGCACCGGCUAACUACGUGCCAGCAGCCGCAGUAACAC
rnacentral:rRNA from 1 species